AAUGCAUUAAAUAGUUAAUCUUUCAUUAACAGUGUGUAAUCAGUUGGCACGAUUUGCUCAAUACACAAGAAAACUGGUGACUGCGCCCCUGAGAGUGUAAUUCCAAGCUUCAGUCUUUGGAGAAACCUUACCUCACUGUUUUAGACACAAAAUACUGCAACUGCAAUUUUUAAAAAUUUCCCAAAAUUAUGGAGUAAAAGAAGGAGGAAAAAAGAGAGAAAAAAAAGAGAGAUCAAGACAAACUUUUCACUUUUGUUUGGACUGAGUGAAGGAUCAAUACUGAGUUAUGAAAAGACUUUGCAGAUUAAUCUGUGGAUUAAUGCAUCCCAUCAGCAGCAUCUGCAAUUUCAAAGGAGCAAUGAAAGGUUAAGGUAACAAGAUCAAGGCAAGAAUAUUCUUCUUCUAUGUCCUCCUUUGGAAAGAUGCCUCUAUUUGCUCCCUAAAGGAGAAUAAAAAAGCAAAACUGCUGAUAGUAGCUGCCAGAAGCAAGGAUGCAAGAUUUAGUUGGAAGCAAUCUGAUACCUCAGAAGGCACUGAGUACCCUGUGGAAGACCCAUGAUGAGAGACCGGAGGAUGACAGAUAACUUGACAGGUUUCCUUUUGCAUAACCAAAAAGUAUGAAGAAGUCUAAAAAGGUCCUUUCACAAUGCAUAUAAUUCUGUGCAGAUUGUAACAGUGCAUACUAUUCACCCACAUGGGGAGCAUCACCAAGAAUACUCACUGAAGCAAGUGCUGUUGAAUUUGCAUGAAGGUUGUAGACUUCCUCCCAAAAUAUUAAUGCUUUAGCAACAGAAAAAGUAAAAAGACAAAGUUUUUUUAAGUAAAAAAACUCCAACAUUGUAGAAAUGUUGUCUAAACUGUAAAGGUCAAACCUUCCUCCAUGUAUAGCAAAUAAUCCAGUUUUUUCUUUCAUUUGCUUUUAGAACAAAACCCCAAAACCAACGAAACAAAAAGCAGAGCAGAACCUCCUCCCAUAGUCAACCCAAAACCAAAAGAUAGCUAACCACUUUUAAGGUAGCAAAAUCCAGGAAACCCAGGCAUAGAUUGCUUCUUUCAGGACUAGCAACUAGCAAUCUCAGGUUGAAAUCCAGCCCAUGUCAGCAGAUAACAAAGAGAAGUACUGCUAUCUAGUGAAGAUCUUUUCCAUGCAGUUUGUUAGAAAAGAAUGGUCACACAGAUUGUCAAUUAGACCUCAUGUUUUUUUAAAAAAAUCCAGUUUUUCUUAAAUAUUUCAUUAAAUGCUAGGAAAUAAAUUGGUAUGGAAAAGGAUGUAAUUGUCUCAGACUCUCUAAAUUUGGGUCAUCCAGGGGUAUGCCAAGGCCUAUACUGGUAUUUCUUCUGCUUUCAUAGUUACGUAUACAAACCCCCUUGGUUUUAGAUGCUUUUAGGGUUGUCUGUAUGUCAGUCGUGAUUUCAGCCCAGCCAGGAACUAAGUCCCACACAGCUGCUUGCUCACUCCCCCCACAAAGGGAUGGGGGAAAGAAUCAGAAGAGUAAAAGUGCAAAAACUCAGGGGUUGAGAUAAAGAUAGUUUAAUAAGUAAAGCAAAAGCCAAGUGUGCAAGCAAAGGAAAACAAGGAAUUCACUCAUUCACUACUUCCCAUCGGCAGGCAGGUAUUCAGCCAUCUCCAGGAAAGCACGGAUAUACCAUGCAUAAUGGUGUCAUUGAACGCACUGUAGGUAAAAUAUAUCUGAUAAUUUGCUACACAAGUCUAAGAAGACUGACCACUAAAGCCCAGCUCUGACUUCAUUAUUUUUAUCACAGCAACCUCCGUGUUAUGAAGUAAUUAAUUACUAUUGAAAAAAACCAGACUUAUUUUCAUUAGCAAGUAAAUCCAUCAUGUAUUUAUACUUUUGAAAUUUUCAGAAUUCAUAUUGUUUUGAAUUAUAUUUUCUAACCUGUGGACUAUAAUAUAGAUUAUGUCUCCCUCUCACGUGCAUACAAGCUUGAAGAACCAGAUUUUGUGAUAUGUCAAGGACCACAAACUGUGAAAAUUAUUUAGUUGGAAAUAUCAAGAUUUUCUGUUGGAGCAUUUUAUAUAAAAUCCAAACGGCUUUGUUAUAGAAAUGUAAAAAAAAAAAAAAAAAAAAGGUAGAGAAUCAGCUUAUGGAAACUGACCCGGAGAGCUUAAUUUCAAGUUAAUUCAAUAUAACUGUACAACAAUUCAUAGGUGUUGCAGGUCUGAUGACAUGUGUCCUGAUGCACACAAGGUGAUGCUACUCCCAGGAUUCGUCAAACAAAUGAGCUUGGCAGGAUGCUAGAUAGAAUUUCAGAAUACUUUGCUCUCUGUUAAGCACGUCAGCAAGAAAAAAUGGGGGUGGUAAAAUAAAACUCACAGGUGACAUGAUGGCUGUAGCAGAAACAGUUUGAUGAUUUGCUGAAAGUAACCAAAUAAAAUUAUGUAUUUUAAGAGUCUCAUAUAUGUAAUUUAGAUUUUCUUAGUAGGAAUUUCCCACAGGAACUUUAUGUGGUAUGCAUAUUCUUAAAAAGAAAACAAAAUUAUUGUAUUUGCAGAGCUCAAUUCAUACUUCUACACAUGAUUUUUUACCAUUUUUUCCUAUUUUAAAACAUUUUAUGUUGGAAAAAUGUUUCUUAAUGGGUGAGUAUGUAUUUCUUAUCCUGUUUAGGGUUUUUAACUUUGUUGACAAAACAUAUUUUCACAAGAUAUUUUAUCUAUAUUAGUAUUUAUGACUGAUCCUUAUUCAGUCAGCCCAAUGAGAUCUUCAUGCUGCUUUUCAUGUAUUUAUCUUUUGACAACAAUAAAUCUGUUUUGUGUGUGCCAAAUGUUUCACUCUCUUCUCUCGUUUUCUGCCUGAGUAAAUUUGGACAUUUUAUGUUCAAUGUGCUUAAAAUUUUUCACAGUA